CGUAUGAAAGUACGUUUCACCUCGGGUGACAGGGAGACAGGUGGUGCAUGGUUGUCGUCAGCUCGUGUCGUGAGAUGUUGGGUUAAGUCCCGCAACGAGCGCAACCCUCAUUGUUAGUUACUACCAUUCAGUUGAGGACUCUAAUGAGACUGCCAACGACAAGUUGGAGGAAGGUGGGGGAUGACGUCAAAUCAUCAUGCCCUUUAUGACCUGGGCUACAAACGUACUACAAUGGCCAAUACAAAGAGAUGCGAAGCGGUGACGUGGAGCGAACCUCAGAAAGUUGGUCUCAGUUCAGAUUGAAGUCUGCAACUCGACUUCAUGAAGGCGGAAUCGCUAGUAAUCGCGGGUCAGCAGACCGCGGUGAAUACGUUCCCGGGUUUU
rnacentral:rRNA from 1 species